rnacentral:rRNA from 1 species
GUGAGGAAUAUUGCGCAAUGGAGGCAACUCUGACGCAGCCAUGCCGCGUGCAGGAAGAAGGCGCUACGCGUUGUAAACUGCUUUUAACCGGGAAGAAACCCCAGGACGUGUCCUGGGUUGACGGUACCGGAGGAAUAAGCACCGGCUAACUUCGUGCCAGCAGCCGCGGUAAUACGAAGGGUGCAAGCGUUAUCCGGAUUCAUUGGGUUUAAAGGGUGCGUAGGCGGAGCGUUAAGUCAGUGGUGAAAUCCUGCAGCUUAACUGUAGACUUGCCAUUGAUACUGGCGCUCUUGAGUGCGCUGGACGUGGGCGGAAUGUGCCGUGUAGCGGUGAAAUGCUUAGAUAUGGCACAGAACACCAAUUGCGAAGGCAGCUCACUAAGGCGAUACUGACGCUGAGGCACGAAAGCGUGGGGAUCGAACAGGAUUAGAAACCCGGGUAGUCC